UUUAAUUUCAUUGAAACAGCAUGGUAAUGACUUCCUGAUUUGGGUUAUUUUUCAUAUUUCAGCCAAGCACCUUUCAUCAGUGAUAUUACCAAUACCAAGCCUGAUAGAGUCCUUUGUGGUCAAGGUGAAAAAUUUUCCCUGACUUCUUUGAAAGCCUAUCUAGGACAUUGAUGAUGACUGACCUUGAAGGUGUUGAAGACCUGUAAAGUAUCCUUGUCUCCGGAAUCAUGGUUUUAUGAGUAAGUAUAACUGCAUUCAGUUUUGAUCUUUCCAAGAACAGAUUGGAUCAGGAAAAUAAACAGAAAAAUAUUUAAGAAACUUUCUUUCCAUGAUAGGAGAAAAGCAGCUGGGGGUGAUCCCAGGCCUGUGUGCAUUGUAGAAGAAUAAAGUGUAUUUAUUGGAUGGAAGGGGAGCUAUACAGUGUAUCUCUCCAAGCCUACACAAACUGGCCAUGAAGAAAAGCCUGGUCUCUUCUGACCUCUUAAAAAAUGGGAAAGGAAAAAAAUGAGAACUGUUCCCUGAAGGAGAUUCUGAGGAAGGCCAUUCUUACGUCACCAAGAGCUUCCUCUUUCUCUUCACCAGCUCAGCACUGCUGGAAGCUUUUUAUAAACCACGAUUCCUACUGCUGUCAGCUUGUUUGGAAACUACAUGUUCUCAACAUUCCAUCAUGGAGAAGGAUCCCCACCCUACUUCAAAAGCCUUUUUGAAGGUCAGAAUGCAUUCUGUGAGUGGCAGCUCAUGUCACAUACCUCUGGAAAUCAGUUCUCUAAUACACAACUGUUUUGUAAUUUCAUCUAUUUUCUGCAUGUAAGUCACCUUAUAAGGCAACUGCGAGGAUCUGGGGCAAAAGUAUCAC
rnacentral:lncRNA from 1 species